AGAGAAUAGGCCCAAGCGACUGUUUACCAAAAACAUAGGUUUCUGCUAAGUCGCAAGACGAUGUAUAGGAGCUGACGCCUGCCCGGUGCUGGAAGGGUAAGGGGAUCUGUUAGAGCAAUCGAAGCAGUGAACUUAAGCCCCAGUAAACGGCGGCCGUAACUAUAACGGUCCUAAGGUAGCGAAAUUCCUUGUCGGGGAAGUUCCGACCCGCACGAAAGGCGUAACGAUUUGGGCACUGUCUCAACAACAGACUCGGUGAAAUUGUAAUUCCGGUGAAGAUGCCGGAUACCUGCGAC
rnacentral:rRNA from 1 species